rnacentral:rRNA from 1 species
UACGUAGGGCGCAAGCGUUGUCCGGAAUUAUUGGGCGUAAAGAGCUCGUAGGCGGUUUGUCGCGUCUGCUGUGAAAACUCGAGGCUCAACCUCGGGCUUGCAGUGGGUACGGGCAGACUAGAGUGCGGUAGGGGAGACUGGAAUUCCUGGUGUAGCGGUGAAAUGCGCAGAUAUCAGGAGGAACACCGGUGGCGAAGGCGGGGUCUCUGGGGCCGAAAAUUGACG